AAGAAAAUGACAGAGUGGAAAUGUGGCUGGUUUGAAACCAGGGUACGGGGGUUCGAUUCCCUCUUUUCUCG
rnacentral:tRNA from 1 species